rnacentral:lncRNA from 1 species
CACUUUCCUCAUAAAAGCUUGAAAUUUGUUGUACUGUACUACCAUCAGGAUUGACAGUUCCUGAGAUUUAUUAGCUGCUUGCUUUUGAACAAAAUUUUGCUUUAAAAAAUUAAAGGAGUUUUUCUUACAAAAUCAUGCUAUUUAGUACAACAUACGAGCUGGGUCUAUGAUACUAUUAAGUAUACUAUUGCCCCAGCCUUACUGAAAAUCCCUAGUCGAUGAAGUUGGGUUACUGAAAUUAUGUAUAUGUACCAGAAUCUAGGGCAAUAACAGCAUAUUUGGCCGAGAAAUACAAGGAAACGGGGUGUGAUCUCUUGAGGCACAAUGACCUCAAAGAAGCUGCAUUGGUGAAGGUGUGGUUGGAGGUUGAAUCCCAACAAUAUCAUCCGGCAAUAUACCAGAUUGUGUACCAGUUCUUCGUGUUGCCUCUACAAGGCAAGACGGCCGAUCAGGCCAUUAUUGAUGUAAAUCUGGAGAAGUUGGGUAAGGUUCUGGAUGUGUAUGAGGCCAGGCUGGGCACCACAAAGUGCCUAGCAGGAGAUUUCUACAGCUUGGCUGAUCUUCACCACCUUUCUUACACUUACUAUUUCAUGAAGACGCCAUGGGCUUCCCUCAUAAACAGCCGUCCCAAUGUGAAGGCAUGGUGGGAGGACAUUUCCUCAAGGCCAGCUUUCAAGAAAGUGGCUGAAGGCAUGACUUUUGGUGAGAAGUGAUCGGUUUCUGAGCAGUGUGGCUCUAUGUUUUGGGGUAAUAUUAAUUGUAGUGGUUGCUGCCUCUUAAUUACGUGUAUUUAAGUGUGAGACCACGUAAUAAUUACUGAUUAUGUGUUAUGAUUUGCCCUAAAUUAAUCAGAAAUGUGGAAUUAUCUGGGGUUUCUCAUUGUGGUAAUUAAUCUGCUUGCAACCAGUUUUUGAAAGGGUUUGAUGCAUUUUUACUCCAUACUUUGCUUUAGCUAGGGUUAUGUUGGUGUCUCUAAGGCAUAAUGCUUCCAUUUUUGAGUCAUUGCAUACUCAGAUCAAAGUUUUCAAGACUUGUAGAAAAUGGGUUUUGGUAUUUUCAUGAAAGAGAAUGAAAGGGCAAAUUUCUUCACAAGGCAUGUAGUAAGGGUUUUCCCUUUCAAUCAGUCUUUUUCCUGAGAAACAAACAGAAUGUAUAUCAUGCCGUGUCAUCCACUGUGACAGUUUUCCUCUGAAGAGUUUUACUGCAGUACUUCCUAUUUAUUCCCAUUUUUACUUCCCAAACGAGGUAAACACGUACUGUACUGCAGCUCUGGUUAUUUUCAUCAUCCUUGCUUGUCCAAAGCAGCUUCACUCUUUGAACCUAUUUUUAUUGUUAUAUAUAUAUAUAUAUUAGGUCAAAUUAAUCUUCCAAUUUUCUAACUCUAAGCCCUUGCAAAGAGUUUUUGUAGUAUCAUAUGUAUCUACUAUCAGUCAAGCAGAAACUGGAUAAUGUUCUAUAUACGCUUCAAUAAUUAUGGAUCCAGCAAAGGAGAUCUUUUGUUAUGCUACGGGUCUCUACUAAAAUCUGAGGCUGGAACCCACUUCAAUUAUUCACUCAUUUUGUUCUCAUAGAACCUUCAGCCAUGUGACCCUCACCCUCCAACUAACUUUCAACCACAUCUACCACCUUUCUUUCCUUUUUAUUUUUAUUUUUUAGUUUUGACCUAAUUCCAUCUAACUCUCAAAAUGUAUUCUAAAUCAUGCAUCACAGUCUCAAAAUAUAUGUAGGCCCUUCUCUCUAGAUUCUUGAUUCUAUAGUCUUGUACAACCCAAAUUUCUUAGACUCUAGUCUGAAUAAGCUUGAUAGACAUGAUUGUGCUUAUUAUUUAAUAAUUUAAGUUUUUCUUAUAGUAAUUAAUAGUUUAAUAUGAUAUAAUAAAAUUUCUUAUCUUAAUUAAUUUGUAAAAUUAUCUAGAUGAGAUAAAUAGAUAGUCCUAAUUUUUAACUCCAAAAAUUGAUUUUUUUUCUCAAUUAUAAAUUUUCUUAAUCCAAUGCGAGAUUCAAAUAUCAAAAUAAUAGCUAGUUUCAUAAGACACUUGAUGUAUGUGGAAAACCAUCAACAAUCAUGGGUUUGCAAAACAAAGUAAUUACUAAAUCUAAAAGAAUAAGUACACAAUUUUUAUCAAAAUUUGAUACUAUCUUCUCCCAAGGGUCUUAUGUUGGCACAUAUUUACACUUGUUUUCAUGUUUGAGAUGCAACACCUUAUACCCUUUAGGAAACUCCUCAACUACUUGAUAACAUAUAAUCAACCAUUAUGAUUUGAUCUCAAAUAAGAGUUAAGCGAUUGAAAAUGUAUGUGUAGUGAGUUUGAAAUGAGAAUGAUAGAGAAAUUGAACUUUUUCAUUAGACUUUAAAUGAAGCCAUUAAGGAAGAGAUCCACUCCCAAGAUUAAUUCAAGAUGGGGAUAUAAAAAUGGUAUCUUACCAUAAUGACGUCAUCCAUCAAACUUUAUAUGAAGAAGAUAAAUCCAUUGGUUGAACUCUUUAUAGAGGAAUAAUUGACUCUUUAUCAUUAAACAAUAUAUGUUUGUUUUCAACUUGCAAAGAAUCUUAUUCUAGUGCUAUUAAAAAAAUUCUUAAAUAUUUAAAAAGAAUAAUUAAACUAUGUUUGUGAUAUCAUGCAUACUAACUUUGAUCUAAUUAACUAAUUAAAAGUGGAUUUUCCGUUUGUAAAAGUAAUGGAAAUGUAUUAGUGGUACUUAUAAUGUUUGUUUUCAAUCUUACAAAGAAUCUUAUUUUAGUGCUAUUAAAAAUAUUCUUAAAUAUUUAAAAAGAAUAAUUAAACCACGUUUGUGGUAUCAUGCAUACUAACUUUGAUCUAAUUAACUAAUUAAAAAUGGGUUGUUCCAUUUGUAAAAGUAAUGGAAACGUAUUAGUGGUACUUCUAACUUUCUAGGCCACUCACUAGGUUUUGACAUAGUGAUCGAACCUUUGAUCAAUUGAGUUGUCGUGUGCGAUAUAUUUCAUAAUGACUAAUUGAUGCAUGGUGGUUUAGACUUAGUCUUAAUUGGUUGAGGACUUGUUGAUCAGAUGUUAAUCGAUUAAGGUUCUUGCACCUUAAUGAUUACCUCCAAGUGUACUUUUAUUUAAUAGCAUGUUUCUUAGUCCAUCGCCUAAUCCACUAAUUCAGCUAAAAAUGUGCCUAAGGGCUAGUUUCACUCUAGAACUCUUAUUUAAAACUUUCCAACCUUGAGCAAUCAUUGUAGCAAUUUAUUGAAUGGUUCUCUAGAAUACUCUUAUUCCCAAACUCGCAAGUCUCAUUUAGUCUACCUUAAUCUUAGUUUAUUUAUAUAUUUGAUCCUGAAUUUUGCAAACUAGAAAGCUUACUUUAAGAAAUUCACUCUUGUAUUCAUGAAAGAGUAUACUGAAAUGUAAGGGAUCACUUGAGGGCAUUGCAAAGGCAUAUUGGAAGCUUAAAUAUAAGUGUAAAAAAAUUAAAAGCAAAAUCUUAGCACUAGUGAAUGGACCUCAAGCUUAGAUUGAUGAAAGAGAGAGUGGAUAUAGGAGUUAUAGAACCAUUAUAAGUACUUUAUUGCAUCACUCUAUCCCUAUCUCUAUUAAUUUACUUGCACUAUAUUAAUUUUUAUAAUUUGCUUUUUAAUUUUCUAAAUUUUGCAAAAGAACUAACACCGAAUUCUCCUCCCCUCUUGGGUGUCUUCCUCAAGUGAACUCAACUAAUUUGCUUUUCAAUUUUCUAAAAUCAUGAAUCAAUGUAUCAUAAAGCAAAUCCACUAAUUUAAAAAGAAUUAAUACACGGUUUUACCUUAACCAUAUGUUAUCUUCCCCUAAUAAUCUUACACCAAUCAACACAUCCAUUUGUUUUCACGUUUGCAAUGCAAUAUAUGCUCCUUAGUAAACUCCUUAGCAAUUUGAGAUAAUACAAUCAACCAUCAUAAUUUAUCCUUUAAUUAAAGUUAAGUUUUCAGGAAUAUUGGAAACACACAUGAGAAUAACGACAAUUAUUUUCGAGAGCAUGUUGUUUUUUCAAUAUAAGGAGAAAAUCUUACUAAGUCUAUCCAAAUACAUUAAUUGAAAAAAAUAUAGAAUUAGAAAAUCAUGAAAAAAAAAAAACAAAUGGGUCCAAGGUAAACCGAUGUACUCCAUUUUGUCAUGAAUAUUCACUAAAAAUUACUCAACCGUACACAAGCUUGACACACAACAUUUCCCCACUACGUAAUAGCCAUUAAAUCAAAUGAAAAAUAAAAUCUCCAACGUUAAAUUAAGUUGACACCGUGUGCAUCCCUGGUUUCAUAAUGCAGAGUGAGAUGAAACAGAAUCGAUGCACAAGUACUGGGAAAUAAAAUUACCCAUCACGAGUCUAGAAAAUGGGUUCUGAUAUUUUCACAUAAGACAAUGUUGGAGGAUUCUAGGAAAAGAAAGAGAAUGCGGGAAAGGGAAAAUUCUUCACAUGCCUACAGCAUUUACGGCAUAAAGAACGUUUUCUUUCUCAAAGCAUGUGAUCUUUUUCCUGAGAACCAAACAGAUGGCAAAAGCAAGUUCCUGCUUGUCCAAAAAAACCCUGUACUCAUUGGACUAACAAAGCCUGAAUUAAAUAUGGGCCAUUUCGUACCUUCACCAUGGCCCAUUUCUUGUGAUGUUCUUUUGAAUAAAUUUAAGAAAUUACUGUUAGAAAUCAAAUAGAUUGAAUAAAUAUUUUAAUUUAUAAAAAAAUCAUCUUAAAUAAAUAACAAAUAAUAAAUAGGAGAAGGAAAAGAGAAAGUACGUAUAUUUGCAAUGUUACAUUACCUCACCUUAUCGUUUUCCAAAACUUAUAGUAAGCAAGAAUUGGAUUUACUUCUGCCUUCUAUUCUUCAUCAAUACAAUAUGAACGGUAGAGAAGUCCCUUGUUCUAAAGGAGCCGGGCAAGUCGAUUGAAACAAGCGAAUCGAGGUGGCCUGCAACUACCCUAAACAACACUGCAUAAGAAGCCAACAAACUAGUAUAUAACGCCCACCAUACCCUCUUCAUUUUCAGUACCACCUCACCAUCCUCCAUUCAUAUCGCCCAUUUUCACCCACCUCUUUCUCUCUCUCUCUCUCUCUCUCACUCUCUCAGUUUCUCAGUCUUUCAAUGGCGCUCAAGCUCCAUGGAAUUCCCAUGUCCACUUGCACCACUCGUGUCCUCACCUGUCUCCAUGAGAAAGGCUUGGAUUUUGAGCUUGUCCCUGUUAAUCUCUUUGCAGGUGAACAUAAGCAGCCUCCUUUUCUUGCCAAGAAUGUGAGUCUCACUUUCUUCUUUCUUUCUAAUCAUCUCUCUUUCUUCUCUCUGUAGAUUUUGCUUUCUUUGGGGUUGUAUAAAUUAUGAUUUUCCUUGGUUUGGGUACAUUGUUUUUAAUGUACAGUCUCGUCGAUUUGAUUUUGGUCUUGGUUUUGUUAUACAUAUAUGCAGCCCUUUGGACAGAUUCCAGUUCUGGAAGAUGGCGAUUUCACUCUUUUUGGUAAGUUCACGGUUUUAAUCACUUUCCUCAUAAGAGCUUGAAAUUUUUUGUACUGUACUACCAUCAGGACCGACAGUUCCUGAGUUUUAUCACCUGGUUGCUUUUCAACAAAAAUUUUCUUUCAAAAAUUUAAAGAGUUUUUCUAACAAAAUCAUGCUAUGUAGUACAUCAUAUCGAGCUCAUAUAUUAUUAUUUUGAUCAAUUUUAGACCAAUCAUUUUUCUGGAUAAUUUUCGUAGUUUUUUUAUUUCGCUUUCAUGUUAGUCAUGUUAGUCCAGGUUUACUGUAAAUCCCCGGUUGAUUUAGUUGGGUUAUUGAAAAAUUAUGUUUAUGUACCAGAAUCUAGAGCAAUAACAGCAUAUUUGGCCGAGAAAUACAAGGAAACGGGGUGUGAUCUCUUGAGGCACAAUGACCUCAAAGAAGCUGCAUUGGUGAAGGUAUGGUUGGAGGUUGAAUCCCAACACUACUAUCCUGCAAUAUACCAGAUUGUGUACCAGUUCUUCGCGUUGCCUCUACAAGGCAAGACGGCCGAUCAGGCCAUUAUUGAUGUAAAUCUGGAGAAGUUGGGUAAGGUUCUGGAUGUGUAUGAGGCCAGGCUGGGCACCACAAAGUGCCUAGCAGGAGAUUUCUACAGCUUGGCUGAUCUUCACCACCUUUCUUACACUUACUACUUCAUGAAGACGCCAUGGGCUUCCCUCAUAAACAGCCGUCCCAAUGUGAAGGCAUGGUGGGACGACAUUUCCUCAAGGCCAGCUUUCAAGAAAGUGGCUGAGGGCAUGACUUUUGGUGAGAAGUGAUCGGUUUCUGAGCAGUGUGGCUCUAUGUUUUGGGGUAAUAUUAAUUGUAGUGGUUGCUGCCUCUUAAUUACGUUUAUUUAAGCGUGAGACCACGUAAUAAUUACUGAUUAUGUGUUAUGAUUUGCCCUGAAUUAAUCAGAAAUGUGGAAUUAUCUGGGGUUUCUCAUCGUGGUAAUUAAUAUGCUUUCAACCAAUUUUUGAAGGGUUGGAUGCAUUUUUAGUCCAAGUACGAUAAUAUUAGUUAUCAUGUUAUAAGCACAAAUUUCAUUAAGUGCAACGUAAGCACAACAAUAGAAAAAUAUACAAAAUAAAAAUGAACUAAUUGUGGGAUACAAUGUCAAUGUUAAUAUUUUUUACAAAAUAAUAUUUUCUAUUUGAUUAUUUCAUUUUGAUAAGAUAUCAAAAACAAACAAUGAAAGUGUUUCCUUGAUUUUGAGAGUCAAUUAAAGACUUAAAGUGAUUUAUUUAUAAAUGACUUUGUCGAAAGAUAAAUAACACGUGUUAUUCUUUUGUGAUUUCUCAAACUUGUAGGAAAAUUUUGUGAAGCUUUAAGUCAAUUGAGGACCUAGAAUGACUUAUUUGUAAAUCACUUUGAUUAAAACAAUCUGAAAGCAGACGACGAAAGUGUUUUCUUGAUUUUGAAAAUCAAUCAAUGACCUAAAAUUGUUUAUUCUAAAAUGAUUUUGUAAAAAGGCAAAAAGCACGUGUGUAAUUCUUUUGCUAUUAAUUGAACUUACGGGAAGAUUUUAUGAAAUAUUUUCUUUUUUAUGAAUCUUCUUUCCACUCGUUUUGUCAAUUGAUUUGAAGUCGAUUAUUUGAUUUGGUAAUUUGUCUCAUUCAUUAAGAAAAUUUGCGAGCAAGAUAAUAUUUAUUUUAAAUUUCCUUUUACUUCAAUGGAAGAUUUGUUUCUUUUAGAAAUUUAUCAACAAUAGAAUAUGCAUGCAAUUGAAAAUUUUGAUUUUAUUUACAAGACUAAAUUUUGUAAUCUUUCAAAUUUCAUCCAGUAUCACUUUUUAAAUAUAUGUCAUAUGUCAAAUGUGUGUUGUUAGCCUCAAAUUUUGUUGAAUUGGGGAGCCAUAAUUUUGAAAUCAAUUUAGUUAUAAUUUAAUUCGCUAAAAAGUUUUGAUGUCUACAUAUGAAUAUAUCAGUCUUUAGAUUUUAUGGAUAUAUUGGAAUAUAUCAGGAAAUAUUAGUGAAUAUUUUGAAAAAAAUAUUGAGAAGAUGAAAAUUGAUCAAAACUCAUAAACAUAUAUGAGAAAAACUCUAAGAAAUGAUAAAAGUAAUAACAUAUAUUUUGAAAUUGUUUUGUUAAAGAAAUUGAUAUAUUUAUAAUAUAAUUUAUCAUAUCUAACAAUAAUAUCAUGUGCGCCAACAAGAAAUAUGAAAUUUGUAAAUGUAUAUUUAUUAUUAAGUUAUAUUAAAUAUUAGUCAACAACAAUAUUAUGAUAUUUAAUAAUAAUAUAUCCAACUAAAAAAUGUAUUUAAUAUUAAAACUAUAAUCUAUUUAAUGCAUUCAAUGAUAUAAAACAAAUAAUUAUAUAUAUUUAUAUUUUAAAAAUAUAUAUAAAAUUAUAUAAUAAUAAUCAUCAUCAUAAUCAUCAUCUCCAUCUCCAUCUUCUUCAUCAUCAUUAAAUCAGAGACAAGGAUUCAUUGUCCUAUACCUAAAAUUGGACAAUUAUGCUUUAGGGUUUUUAAAAAAAUGUUAUUGGUCCAAAGGAUGCCAAAGAUGUAUAAUUAAUGUAAAGCAUAUGAUAUGUUACUCCUUGAAAACAUAGGUAUAUACAAACAUAUUUCAUUUUUGGACCUAAUUAUACAUCUUUCGUAUCUUUUUUAUUUGUCGUUAGUAGCCAUAAUGGAUGACUAUCCCUUUAAAAUUUUGACCACCCUUGUCCGGAUGGUUUUUGCCAUGCCCUUAUUCAUUCAUUUAGAUAUUGUUUCACUCUUAUAAAAAAUAUUCUAGUUUAGCACUUUCUUGGGAUAUGCAAUUGCAUUCAAUUUCAAGGAACAUCAUGAUAUUUACCAUCUUUUAUGAUUUGGAGGGUUGUGUUUGUUUAUGAUAUCCUCCGAAUCUGGCGAAAUCCGAGGCAUAUGAACCAACCCCACCUCAAUCAUUCACCAACUUUUACUGUAAUUUACUAAUUUUGAGUCACGCUUUACCCUUCAAUAAACUUUCCACUCUCAUCGUCCUUCUACUCGUACACCUAAUUCUUUACUGUCACACUUUAAU